UCUGCUCUCAAAGGUCCAGGCAAUCCCUGUCCCCAUCCCCAUCCCCCUACCCCCAAAGUUCGGUUUGGCAGGCUCCCUUCCCAAACCCCUGGUUCCCACCAUCUUCCCCUCCCUCGGGAACUCCCCUCCCCCAGCCCAGCAGCCUCAGGGUUGGGCAGGGGCUAUUUUUAGCCUGGGCACUGAGCUAAUUUUAACUCACUGACAGGGACCUGGGGGCGGGCUGGCGGGCUAGGGGGAGGGGGGGAACCAGUCCGGGAAAGCUGGACCUGGGCAGGGGUGGUCUCAGGUCCUGAGUGCCUGAGGAAGGCAAGCAGAGACAGGCACUGCAGCCCCAGGCUGAAGGGACAGAGAAGGACCUGCCAGAGGAGGACCCGGUGCGGCCAGCUCACCAAGCACCCUCCUCACAGCUUCCACUGGACACCUCUCCCUCGUCCCACCUCAGGCAGGAUGGGACCCUGGGGCUUGCCAGCUAGGACCCCUGGCGAUCAACCAGCUUUCUCUGCCUGUGACCUGGCGCCAUCCCUCCUCUGAGUGGGGAAGUCCUGCCUGUUGUCUACUCUCAAUCCUUCUGCUACACUCUAUAACCAGGGAGCAGGUGAGGCGGCUCUUUCAGAGACACGGAAGUCAAGUCAUGCCCACGUCACCAGCAAUGAGUGGCAGAGGUGGGCUCACCACAUGCUUGGGCUCCCUCCCCCUGGGAGUUCUAGCAACUUCUUCCAGGGCAGAGUCCUAAACUCCUGGACCUGGCAGGCUCCUGUAGCCACGUCUCUUGCCUUCAGACCAGCCUGAGCUCCUUUGGCCCAUCUUCCCACCUCACCUCUCAUUACCCAGCCCCAGUGGGUACUAGCAGGUAUCAUUCAGUCUCUUUCCUGGGGCUCUCUCCCGUAGCAAUCAGGGGACCAUACUUUCUUAGGACACCAAAGCACUAUCUUCCUCAGCUUGCCACCAAGCCUCAUCCUCUGCCCGUGACCAGGGAAUGCUACAGGUUCACCCUUCCAGUAAUGCAUCUUUUCCAUCCUCCUCUUCCCCCUCCUUCCUUUGGGUCUCCCUGGGCCUCCUGCAGGGUAAGACAAAGCCCCUAAGACCUCCCAACAGGGGAAGAGGGCCUGCGAAGUCUUCUCACUCCAGUUGGCUCACAUGACAUGGAGGCAAGGGGCUGGAGCAGGUGCCCCCUAAGCAAGUCACUUAAAUCUCUAACUGGGUUCCCCAAUUAUAAAA